UGAUUUUCUGGUGGGCGGGAGAGGGUCUCCUUUCCCAACAGAGCUCGGUUUCGGGGGCGCUGCUCAAACUGGCCCAAAGGGGACCCAAAAGGAAACAAAUGGAAUCCCAGCACCGAGGGACUCCCUAGAUGGUCUGAGCUCAGACUGCGGAACUCCCACGCCGGGACUGGAGUUAUCACAGUCCUAAGUGUCCCCUGGCAGACAGCAGUGGCUGUCAGUCUGGAACUGACUGGCGGGCUCCUCAAAACAACACUUGAGUAGCUUCCCGAAAACUCCUCAGUACUGGAUUUCAUUAUGCUGGUGGACUGGAUGGAGAAGUGAUGUGAACAAAAGUAAGGAUGGCAGACAGGUCAGAGAGGUGCCCCUCCCAAGGCCUGGGCUGGAGCAAGGACCAGUCCUAGGGGGGGGUCACACCAGCUCCUCUGAAGGCCACAUGCUCAGUGAUCAGACUACAGUACCCACCGACCUCUGGUCAGAAGUUCUGCCCCAUCACUCAGACGUGACAGGAGGAGAACGA